rnacentral:rRNA from 1 species
CUACGUAGGGGGCGAACGUUAUCCGGAAUGAUUGGGCGUAAAGGGUACGUAGGCGGCAAGAUAAGUCAGGUGUGAAAGCCCACAGCUUAACUGUGGUAAGCACUUGAAACUGUCGAGCUUGAGGGAAGGAGAGGAAAGUGGAAUUCCUAGUGUAGCGGUGAAAUGCGUAGAUAUUAGGAGGAAUACCGGUGGCGAAGGCGACUUUCUGGACUUUUACUGACGCUGAGGUACGAAAGCGUGGGGAGCAAACAGGAUUAGAUACCCUGGUAGUCCACGCUGUAAAUGGUGAGUGCUAGGUGUCGGGAGUCAAAUCUCGGUGCCGACGUUAACACAUUAAGCACUCCGCCUGGGGAGUACGCACGCAAGUGUGAA